rnacentral:rRNA from 1 species
AUUGAACGCUGGCGGCGUGCCUAACACAUGCAAGUCGAACGAGUGGCGGACGGGUGAGUGGUUUCUGGGCACCUGCCUGAUGGAGGGGGAUAACUACUGGAAACGGUAGCUAAUACCGCAAACCAUGGGAUGGGCCCAGGUGGGCUUAGCUAGUCGGUGGGGUAACGGCGCACCUAGGCGACGAUGCCUAGCUGGUCUGAGAGGCUGACCAGCCACACUGGAACUGAGACACGGUCCAGACUCCUACGGGAGGCAGCAGUGGGGAAUAUUGCACAAUGGGCGAAAGCCUGAUGCAGCAAUGCCGCGUGUAUGAAGAAGGCCUUCGGGUUGUAAAGUACUGUUAGCGGGGAGGCGGUACCUGCAGAAGAAGCACCGGCUAACUACGUGCCAGCAGCCGCGGUAAUUC